rnacentral:rRNA from 1 species
GAAUAUUGGACAAUGGGGGGAACCCUGAUCCAGCCAUGCCGCGUGUGUGAAGAAGGCCUUUUGGUUGUAAAGCACUUUAAGCGAGGAGGAGGCUACCCUAGUUAAUACCUAGAGAUAGGGGACGUUACGCGCAGAAUAAGCAGCGGCUAACCCGGGCCCAGCAGCCGCGGUAAUACAGGGGGUGCAAGCGUUAAUCGGAUUUACUGGGCGUAAAGCGCGCGUAGGUGGCCAAUUAAGUCAAAUGUGAAAUCCCCGGGCUUAACUUGGGAAUUGCAUUCGAUACUGGUUGGCUAGAGUAUGGGAGAGGAUGGUAGAAUUCCAGGUGUAGCGGUGAAAUGCGUAGAGAUCUGGAGGAAUACCGAUGGCGAAGGCAGCCAUCUGGCCUAAUACUGACACUGAGGUGCGAAAGCAUGGGGAGCAAAC